AUUGAACGCUGGCGGCAUGCCUUACACAUGCAAGUCGAACGGCAGCACGGGAGCAAUCCUGGUGGCGAGUGGCGAACGGGUGAGUAAUAUAUCGGAACGUGCCCAGUCGUGGGGGAUAACGUAGCGAAAGUUACGCUAAUACCGCAUACGAUCUAUGGAUGAAAGCGGGGGAUCGCAAGACCUCGCGCGAUUGGAGCGGCCGAUAUCAGAUUAGGUAGUUGGUGGGGUAAAGGCUCACCAAGCCGACGAUCUGUAGCUGGUCUGAGAGGACGACCAGCCACACUGGGACUGAGACACGGCCCAGACUCCUACGGGAGGCAGCAGUGGGGAAUUUUGGACAAUGGGCGCAAGCCUGAUCCAGCAAUGCCGCGUGGAUGAAGAAGGUCUUCGGAUUGUAAAGUCCUUCCGACGGGGACGAUGAUGACGGUACCCGUAGAAGAAGCCCCGGCUAACUUCGUGCCAGCAGCCGCGGUAAU
rnacentral:rRNA from 1 species